rnacentral:tRNA from 1 species
UCAAGAGUAGCCAAGCGGUAAGGCAACGGACUUUGACUCCGUUAUGCGAAUGUUCGAUCCAUUCCUCUUGAACCA